UGGAGACUACGAUGGAGCUCCUGGCCUCCCUACGGCCGUCAGGUUAGUCGAGGAAGAUAACAUUGCGGACAUUAGGCUUCAUAAUGCGCGUGUGUCUUUGUUGCGUGUCUUUGCCCUUUUAACACCAGACGAGCUCCGGCGCCGACUCCGACACCCAGACAUCCGCCGCCGGUUCCGCCAGCUCCGCGCCAUCCGCCGACUCCGCCAGGGACUGGCCCGCAGGUAAGUUAUCAGGUUAGUGAUACACUUGUCCCUUUAAACUUACACUACACUGUUUAAAGGACUGUUAUUGGUUUGUAUGGGCACUUUAUUUUAUAUUCUACUGUAAAUGUAAUGUUACAAUUCUUGCACUUUGUUGAUUGUUGAUUGUUUAAUGUUAUUGUCUAAUGUUGCACCACCCGCCAUGACACAUUCCUUGUAUGUGAAAAUAUAGUUUACAAUAGACAGACACACAAUAUAUACAAUUAAAUUAGAAACCAGCUGUGGAACGUCCUGAAGCAGCUCCGGCCCGUCCCCCAGAAACCAGAAGAGUCCACCAGGAGCAGCAGGAAGAGGAGGAGCCCGACUGCCCGGCAGGACGGAUAAAGUGCCAACCAGCCUUCCCUCGCGCCUGGCGGGGGAAGGCUGGUUGGCACUUUAUCAGUAACAUGGUUAUACUUACGAACAUUAAGAAAAGUCUCCAAGUUUUUUAUUUAGGUAUCGAUUGCUGUGAUACAAGAAGAAACUUCCAGGAUCUCCUUGACGACGACGAAGAAGAUGACGAGGGAGGACCACAUGAGAAGGAUGAAGGACUACAGGACCAGAAGAAGAGCGGCGGUUGCCUUUCUUUCAGUGGGCGGAGGCAGGACUCCUCUGUCUCUCUCCCAGCUGGAGGUGGAUGUCAACCAACCCGUCACCUUCAGCAGACCACGACACAAGUCAAUCAGGACCCCCCCCGCCCGUCCACCCAAACCCCCGACACCGCCCGCCCCGCCCACACAGGAAGCAGCUGUGAAGAAGACGGGCGCUUCAGCCUGAACAAGACAUCAUCAUUCUUUCAUUUGUCACAUGGAAUCCUGUAUGUUCAUGUAAACUGUGUACAGUAUGUAGAUUGUUAUCUCCUGAUUUUAAUGAAUACAUUUACCACAACAUCAAAA